rnacentral:lncRNA from 1 species
AGACCCAUACCCUCCGCCAUACGGGACUCCGUAUCCGCCACCACAAGGCUACCCUAUAACACAACCGCCACCGGGUUACCCAUCUGCACCACCGCCACCUUCCUAUGAAGGCUACCCUCCUCCACCACCACCUGGAUACGCAACUUACCCACCGCAACAUCCUCCUCAAUAUCAAAGCUAUCAGGGCUAUUUCAAUGAUGGAUAUCCUCCUCCACCACCUCCUCCGAAUUACCAUUGCCACCAUGUUCAGCAUCAUUGUCAUGAUAAUGAUCACGGCUCCGGUUGUACUUCUUUCUUCCAAGGCUGGUAUGUUUCAAUUAUAUUUAUCUUUUUUAUUAUCUUUUCCCCAAUUUGAUUUAUUUUGGGGAUUAUUUUUGUAUAUUGAUUUUGUUUGAUAUUUGAUUUUGAUAGCGUGUGCUUAGG